AGCAAUGAACUGCAUGACUCUUCUCCCCUCGGGCUAGCCAUAGAGCGAUGCCCUGUGCCUCAGAGUCCUGCCCCCUUUCGGUCUGCCACAGAGCCUACCUCAAGUGUGGAGACAAUCAGAUGGAGGGACACCUCCCAGGCAUCAGGUACCAGAGAGGCUAGGACUGAGGCGAUGUUCCACUGUCUGACACAUUUGUGCCGCCAUGAUUUGUAAUUCACCCUCUGUUUUCUUAAGCUCCAUCUUGGUGAGAACCACAGAAGGCAUUGUUCUUAGAUGGGGACAGAAUUCAUGCUACCUUGACUUUAACUAAAAAAGUAGAGAAUCAAUAUUGGAUAAGAAAUAUCUGUUGGACAGUGUAACCAGAAUAAAAAAUGAGCACUUCGGCUCUCUCUCCUCCAGAACCUAUUGCAGUAGAGCCCAUUUAAAGGAACCAUUAACCCAUCUCUAGGAACCUUAAGGUCACUAUGGCCACUGCUGACACAAUAUCAUGUAUACAUGUAGUGUAUCACACAGUAUUUCAGUAACUUCCUAAGCCACUCUGAUACCCAUGGUCCACAGUCUUGGACAAACAAUCCCCACGUGUGACUCCUGUGCAUAUCUUUCAGGUCCACCAACGGGCCCUGCCAGAUGCCUCCUGACCCUCUCCUGGCUCUAAGCUUUGCUCUGCACUACUCCUGUGGGAAGCCUCGUUCUGAAAAUCUGCACCAAUGGCUACCCUGUCUGCUUCAGCCUGAACUAAAUAAAACUAACCAGAAAGCCAAAGCUGGGCCCUUGGCAGGAGGGUUACCCGUUCUUUUUCACCUCAGCUCCUUUAUGUGUCAUGCACUGAAGUAGGUGCUGAGGACACAAGGCAGACCCGGCCCCUGGCUCCUCUCAGGACCUUCUCCUCUGAUCUCUUAGUGCUCCCAGGCUAAUGCUGUCCAACAUAGAGUAGGUUUUAGCCCAAGGACAAGGGGUCUGGACAAAGUGGAGGAAACUGGGACUCAGCCCCAGAGAAGAACCCACUACUGCCUUCUGGACUCCAAGUUCGCUCCACCCUGGCAUCGCCUCUGAAGCCUCCAGACCUCCUCCCAGCAUCCCAGCAUCCGGUGUUACUGUUGGCUCCACUGCCUGCCUGCGGCCAGGGAUUGAAGGCGCUCUUAUUCCAAACGAGGCCAGUCAGCUAAAUUUCCAAAGCAAAGAUUGUUCCAUUUCUUCUCCUCUUUCCUCCUUUGCUCAAAGAACACACUCAUUUUGUAGAAAUGGGGCAGGCAAUUCAUAUUCUAAGGGUUAAAGUCUUCAUGGGGCACAGCAGGAGCUCAGGUGCUGGGAUGGAGGGAGGGGGCAACAGAAAGGGCUUUCAAUGCCGGGGAAGACAAAUCAGAAGCACUAAUCUUUACUCAUCCCUGUAUUCAUCCGAUUUCUCCACCUCCCUUCUCGUUCCUCCUCUAUUCCCCUCCCUCUACCUCCUGUUCUUUCAUUCAUCCGUCAGUUCACCCACUCAUGCAUACAUGCGUCAAAGCACACACGUUUCCUCAACAGGUAUCUAUUUAAUGUCUGCGCUGAGCCCUCUGCUGCACCGUAAGAAACUCGAGGAGGCUCCGUAGUCUCAGGUAUGGCAAGUGGAGCAGACAAUGACAGGUCUAGGGAGGAACUACGAAUGGCCAAGUAUCGCUGGUAAAUCUCCAGGCGGACAUUCACUGUGGAAGGCUCCUGGGAUGAGGUUAUCACUACUGUUUCCUCCUCAUGCCCUAGAUGGAAAGUCUAUGGUCUGCCUGCAGAAACUGACCUGUGUCCCAGACUGAGCGCUUGCUGUAGGACCAUCAAUUAAUCUCCUUUAAAAAUAUUUACUAAUUAAAUGCUUUUUACGCUAAAAAAAAUUUACUAUUGUGUAUUUAUUGAGGUAUUUUUGGAGGGCUUUCAGAAGCAAAAUGGACUAGAAAAUAUAGAGAAUUCCCCAAAAAUACCUUGCCCCUUUCUGAACUAACCACACCGGUGCCCUUUUCAUUGCCCAUUUGCAGAGGAGACUACUUACUGCGCAUGUACUAUGGGCCAGGACAGGUACAUCAUGGCCUCCAGCCUCUAUUUUAGCGCCACAAAAGCAGUAGAGAUUCUUGUCCUAAAUAUCCUCUGUGUUCUGUCUUAAGUCUUUUUGUCUAAAUUUUUUUUCUUUGAAAUGGAAAAAAAUAAUGACUGUCUCCCAGGGGGAGGGUUCAUGACGAUAAAAUAAGGUUGCAUACUUCGCUCCAGGCAUGGACUAAUUCAUAUUCUCUUCCGGUGAAAAACCAACGGGCCUCAUUCUAGGGCUUUGACUAUACUGUGUGCUCUGGGAGGAAAGAGAAAACUAGGGGUGUGAGGGGGUGCGUGUUUUCAAGAGCAUCAGGGGUACAGUGCUAAAUCAGGCCUGGGUGCCAGGUGACCUGGGGAGCAGAAGUAUGAAGGCUUCAGAGACCCACCAGAUUUCCACAGAGUUGUUCCCUAUUCCUGAACCAACCCAUGCAAGUGUAUCCCGGCAGUCCUCUGGCUGCUCUUGGCAAGGGCUCAGAGAGCUUGCAUGAGUCACAUCCACGUGGCUGCUGAAGAGGGGGGACAGCCUAUGCCCAGACUGGGCCACACUGGCUUGGAGAAACUGUUCCUGAAAGUCCCUGGCAGGGAGCAGGCUGCUAUGAGGCUGUUAACCUGUCAUGCAAACCUACCGGUAAACAAUCUGCGAUGAGAAUCCCAGAUGCUCAUACAUUCUGGAGCCCCAGCCACUCUUCCAGGUCUAGGUGGGAGCCAGCUUAAGGGAGCCCCGCCUAGGAGCAGAGACAGAGCGGCAGGUCCCUCAGCCGGCCAGCACCGAGACAGGGUGUUUCCUCAGAGUAUCAGACAGGCCGUGUUACAUGGGAAGGAGGAAGCCUGAGGGGUACCCAUGGCACACACAGAUCUCCUCUCACUGGGGGGUCUGUGUGUGCCGUCUAGACCAAGUAAUCCAGCCAUACCGUGGUGCCAGAGACAUGGGCGAGCCACGUGGUGCACUCAUGCUAGCACCUCAGUCAGGUCUGCUACUAGGCUGUGGGCUUGGGGGAGUGCCGAGUGCUCGCUGUAGAUUCACAGGAUUUAUUGACUUGUGGCGAGGAGUCUUGAGGAGCCAGAGGACAAAAUGGGGCACAUCUGGUGACCUGAUUUUUUUGUUUUCAUGCUCUUCGUUAAGGGCUUUGGCUGUUCUUGGGGCUGGAGGAAGAGGACGGGGAAAACAGGCAGGGGCAGGAGAGAGGGCAGAUGGGGGCAGGGAGUGCGGAGAGGAACGGGGCUGGCUUGGUCCCGAGAAAGCCUCUGCUCCUAGAUUGGGAAGAGCUUCAGUGAGGAAGCCGCAUGGACACCCUCAGCCGCACAUAUGUGUAACAAGGACCCAACAUGAGAUCUAUGCAGAUUCUCACGGAAACACGGGCAACACAGAUACGUAUAGCCGAAAUACCGCUGUCAGCUAUGCAAUGAACGCCCCAAGUCACUGCCAUGGGGACCUUUGUAGUGUAAUACCUUUCAAGACUAGAGGGUCCUACUGACCUCUAAGAUCUAAACGAAUGUGUCCAGAAGUAUUAUAAGCAAAUCUAAGUCUUCAUUUCCAGUUCCUAGCACUCUUAGAGGGCGCCCUCGCGUUAGAGGAACAAUUUGGGCCCAGCUCACCCCACUACUCCUGGUAGGCGACCUGUACCAUGAAGGUCUCCUUCAUCCAGACAGAGAACACAGUAGAAAAUCCCACAGGCUUCUGUGAUGUGGCAAGCUUUGCAAGUUACUUACACAACAGCAAACAAAAAAACCACUAACAAGAAUAACAAGAAGUUAUUUCUGGUCUUAGUUUCAAAAACCCACCAGAAGUUUUCGGAGCUCAGGACGAGACUUCCCAUAUUAUUCAGAAAGUCCUUCCCCUCUCCUCCGUGUCUCUCUUAGGGAUAAAACCCAAAUUCCUCUCAUUUCUUAGGUGGAGCAAUUUAGCCCUCUUCAUCCUCUGCUGCCACGCUUGGCUCCUGAGCUUGCUUUGCUGAGCCAAACCCCACAGGGAGUUCCGAAAACAGCCUCUGUGGCUUACUGAUUAAGUUUCUAGGACAGAGGCCAUCUGCCUUCCCCAUAUUCAUCUAUUAGAAACCCUCUAUGUCUUUUUCAGGCUGAGUACACACAUGCAGAUACACACGUGUCCACAAAAACACAGAACCCUGUGUACUUCCCCGCAUAGGUUAGACAGAAUUUUCGCAGCUCUCCCAGUCUACGCUAAGCCCCUUCUCCCAUACACACACCAAUCCUUGCCUUCAGAGCUCCCGGCAAUCCUCUAACCAAGAACUUGUUCAUCUAUUAAGUCAACAUUACUGAAAGACCGCCACAUGCCGGGUGUUCUUAUCCACUAGCACAAGACCGUGAACCCAGGAGUUCUGAACGUGGGUAGAGGGUUAGAGAGGAAUGAAAAAACAAGGUUAUCAUUGAAGGUACUUGGACUACUCAGUGACGCCAUUAGACCCCAGGCUUGUUCCACCGUCUGCUUCUCCACCCUCUACUCAUGGGAAGUUUGUGCUGAUUGUUCCCUCUCAGUGGCAGUGGGGAUUUCCUGCCUAAGCCUGGAGACUACACCAGAUGACCUCGUCCACUAUAGGAGAACGAGGCUCUGAGGAGGUCCGUGAACUCACCCUUCCUGUUUUCUGGUCUUCUUAGGACAGAUGGAGAGGAUGAGCUUGCUCCUUCCAGGGAGAGGAUAGCACAGUUCUCCUGUGUGCCUCACCCUCGCCGCCCUGCAGGAAAAUAGGUCUGGGUAAACUCAGGGGUUUGAGGGUAGCUGUCUAAAGACAGCUACAGUGUACUUAGAAAUAAUAAACAAAUGAAUGCUUUUUUUAAAAAAAAAAAA